UACGUAGGGUGCGAGCGUUGUCCGGAAUUAUUGGGCGUAAAGGGCUCGUAGGCGGUUUGUCACGUCGGGAGUGAAAACUCGGGGCUCAACCCCGAGCCUGCUUCCGAUACGGGCAGACUGGAGGUAUGCAGGGGAGAACGGAAUUCCUGGUGUAGCGGUGAAAUGCGCAGAUAUCAGGAGGAACACCGGUGGCGAAGGCGGUUCUCUGGAACGCAACUGACGCUGAGACGCGAAAGCGUGGGGAGCAAACAGG
rnacentral:rRNA from 1 species